rnacentral:rRNA from 1 species
AAAGAAUUUAAGUUUAACUCCCCGAAACUAGGUGAGCUACUUCGAAACAGCUAAUAGAGCAAACCCAUCUCUGUUGCAAUAGAGUGGAACGAUUUCCAAGUAGGGGCGAUAAACCUACCGCACCAAGAGAUAGCUGGUUACUCAAGAAAAGAAUAUUAGUUCAAUCUUAAAUUUUCUAAGUUUUUUAAACAUAUACUAAAUUUAAGAGCUAUUCAAAUAAGGCACAGCUUAUUUGAAAAAGGAUACAACCUAAAAUAUAGGGUAAUAAUAUUAAGAAAAAUAUUAAGUGGGCCUAAAAACAGCCACCUUUUAAAAAACGUUAAAGUUUAUUAUUAUUUAUAUAAAAAUACCACUAUUAUUAUUUAACCCAUAAUUAAUAUUGAGUAAUUCCAUAAUUUUAUGGAAGAUUUUAUGCUAAAACUAGUAAUAAGAAGCAGAACUUCUCCAAAAUGUAAGCCUAAGCCAUUUUAGACACCCUGUUGGCAAUUAACGGUAAUGAAUUAACUUUAAUAACAUUUUACAAGAAAAACUUAAAGAUAAUAACGUCAACCUUACACCAGAACAUUAAUGGAAAGAUUAAAAGAGAAAGAAGGAACUCGGCAAACCUAAACCCCGCCUG